ACCUUUUUCCUUCUGAUUAUUAGCAUAAAAUAUUUAUCAUUUUGAAGCUUAGCCAAACAUGCUGAAUUUGUAAUGUCAGGCUGGUCAGAGAAGGGCGGAAAAAAGGCACAAAUUCAUGGUAGAGUUUCUUGAAGAGUUUUAUGAAGAAUGGGAUGGAAGAGCUUGAGUAAGAUGCUAGGAGAAACGAGGAAAUUCGCGAGUACUUGUCGUAUAUCAUUCCCAUUAGUGGAUUAUGUCUCUGUAAAAAGUAGUGUGUGCGGUUCUUUGCUCCUCAGUUUCAACAAAACCAAUGGCAGGUCGGAAUUCAGUUGAAUAUUUAUAUAUAUUGUUGCAAUUUACUCAAGAUCGAUAUGAUAUGUAAGUAGAUCAAUGCUCAACAUCAUAUUUACCUGCACAUUCCAUAUUGCCUACAA